UACGUAGGGUGCAAGCGUUGUCCGGAAUUAUUGGGCGUAAAGAGCUCGUAGGUGGUUCGGUAAGUCGGGUGUGAAAUCUCCAGGCUCAACCUGGAGGGGUCAUUCGAUACUGCCGUGACUAGAGGUCGGUAGGGGAGUGUGGAAUUCCUGGUGGAGCGGUGAAAUGCGCAGAUAUCAGGAGGAACACCCGUAGCGAAGGCGGCACUCUGGGCCGAUACUGACACUGAGGAGCGAAAGCGUGGGGAGCGAACAGG
rnacentral:rRNA from 1 species